CCUACGGGGGGCAGCAGUGAGGAAUAUUGGUCAAUGGCCGCAGGGCUGAACCAGCCAAGUCGCGUGAGGGAUGACGGUCCUAUGGAUUGUAAACCUCUUUUGUCAGGGAGCAAAGGGCGCCACGUGUGGCGCUUUGCGAGUACCUGAAGAAUAAGCAUCGGCUAACUCCGUGCCAGCAGCCGCGGUAAUACGGAGGAUGAGAGCGUUAUCCGGAUUUAUUGGGUUUAAAGGGUGCGCAGGCGGAAUGUCAAGUCAGCGGUAAAAUUUCGGGGCUAAACCCCGUCGUGCCGUUGAAACUGGCGUUCUUGGGUGCGCGAGAGGUAUGCGGAAUGCGUGGUGUAGCGGUGAAAUGCAUAGAUAUCACGCAGAACUCCGAUUGCGAAGGCAGCAUACCGGCGCUCAACUGACGCUCAUGCACGAAAGCGUGGGUAUCGAACAGGAUUAGAUACCCUUGUAGUC
rnacentral:rRNA from 1 species